AAGCUUCUAACUUAUUGCUUUUCCUUUGUUGGUUGGCAGUUCUGUUUCAGAUUAUCAGGACAGCCACUGGUGGUGGGGCGUUGGCCCGAGGAAAUGGGGUAGGAAGUUUUGUCGAUAAUGUGUCAUCAACUAAUGGCCAAGCUCUCAGCAAUAUCAUUCUCUUCUUUGGAGCUCAGAUUUCUGUUUGGUUACCUUCCCAGUAGCCAGUAAGUCUAAUAGAGAGUUCAUUCCGGUCUCAAUGAUGGCAAGGUUGGUGAGCUUGUCUAUGUUUUGAAUGGGGCAUGUGGUGGAGCAUGGACAGGCUUCUCAUUGGAGGCCUUUCAAAAUCUGUGGGGGUUUGUUAGGUUAUCUCUCGCAUCAGCUGUCAUGCUCUGGAAUCAGCUUGUUAUGAGAGAAUUGGCAUGGCGUUCUACUUGUGUGCAAAAAGACCCAAGCUCAAGGUAGACAAAAUUAAGUUAAUCGAACUCUGUGGCACAUCAGAAUCUGGAUUUUCCAGUGUCUCUACAUCCAUGAAGGACCUGUGUCGUGAUGUUUUUGGAAUAUCAAAGGAAACGAAAGAUCCAAGAGAUGUGAAAGGGAACCGUGGCAUGACUUGCUUUGGUUUUUUUAAGCUUACAACCUUCAAAUGCAUAUUCCAGUGCUCUUCAUGUGAUUUAAAUUGCUAGAUGCAUUGCCUGAGAGAAGAACAUUUGAGGAUGAUGGUUAUUUGUCUGAUGAUGCAAAAGAGGUACUUCACAACAACAUCAUCUUUAAUCUUGAUUCUUAUGAUUUAUUUGCUAAAGCACUUUUUUCAAUUUUUUUUUUUUUUCUUUUGGCCAUUUACUUUAUAAAGCGUGUUCUUUUUGGUGUUAGUAGAUGGUAUCAGUACUAAUCUUACUUAAGAUAUACCUCUCUGCCGGGAAAGUAAAGUACCAGGUGCACACGCCUGAGUUCCUGAGUAAGCUGCUAGUGUAGUUUGGAUUGAGCCAACCUCCUCCCGAGGAUGCUUAGGUGACUGUAUUUUGAUUGAGAUUUGAGUUUCAGUAUUGAUGUCUUUUAAUGAAAUCCUUAUCUCUUAAAUACUUGCUUUAUGUUGAAAUAUAUGUCUUGUUAAUGUAAUGGAUCUCAGUUUUAUAAGCUUCGUGAAGUUUGAUGAGUAUAUCUAACUCAGGAAUUGCAGUGGAAACUUCUUUCCCGGAAGUUCUCCUUUUCAUUUUUCAGCA